rnacentral:rRNA from 1 species
AUUGAACGCUGGCGGCAGGCUUAACACAUGCAAGUCGAACGAGUGGCGGACGGGUGAGUAAUGCUUGGGAAUCUAGCUUAUGGAGGGGGAUAACUACGGGAAACUGUAGCUAAUACCGCGUACCAUAGGAUGAGCCCAAGUGGGAUUAGGUAGUUGGUGAGGUAAAGGCUCACCAAGCCGACGAUCGCUAGCUGGUCUGAGAGGAGGACCGGCACAACUGGGACUGGGACACGGCCCAGCCCCCUACGGGAGGAAGCAGUGGGGAAUAUUGCGCAAUGGGGGAAACCUGACGCAGCAAUGCCGCGUGAAUGAAGAAGGCCUUGGGGUGGUAAAGUUCUUUCGGUAGCGAGGCGUUAACUACAGAAGAAGCACCGGCUAACUCCGUGCCAGCAGCCGCGGUAAUUC